AGGGGGGAGGGAUAGCCUGGGGAGAAAUGCCAAAUGUGGGUGAAGGGGAAGAUGGCAGCAAAACACACUGCCAUGUGUGUACCUAUGCAACUAUCUUGCAUGAUCUGCACAUGUACCCCAAAACCUAAAAUGCAAUUGAAAAAAAAAGAAAAGAAAAAGAAAGAACCCUGGAUUUUAACUUACUUUACAUAUUUUUCACCUACUAGUGAGAUGACUUUUUUGCCUUGUUUCUUUCAUCUGUAAAAAUGAGAAAACUAUGCCUACCUCACAGGAUCAUUGUCAAGAUCAGGUGAGGAGACUUGAUAUGGAGCUUAGCACAUAAUAAACAGUCAACUAUUUAAAAAAAAAAAAGAAAAGAAAAAGAAAUUAUAGUCUGCAAGUGAUAUCUCCAGCAGCUGGGGGUUAUGUGAGUCAACCCUAAGGAGCGACUCUGGAUGAAGUGCUACAGUAUCCACUAUAAGAAUGCAGGUUUUUUCUUCCUAGUACUUAUACAUUUCUGUUUUAAGCCUUCAUCUUUGCAUGACCUUCACUUCUAUGCUACUCUCAGGCUUAUGGGAAAUCAUUCUACCACCCUUUGCCCCCUAUUGCAUUGGGGAGAUCAGGGCCUUGUAGGGUUGACUUGGGUGGCCAGGAUAUAUCAUGUGGACAUUUGCACUAAUUCUGCUCUUCUUGGCAGGGGAAAACCCUCAAGCUUUGCCUCAUUGACUAGGGAUGCCCAUGUUCUCUCCUGUUCUUGGAUUUCCAGCCAUCUUGAGGAUUUCUCCUCUUUUCCCAUAUUUGAACAAAUUUCCAUAGCUCAGUGGACCAGGGUUAGAGCUGAAGGGAAGCAGAGGACCAGGAGAAGCAGACAUGCUCAUAACUCAUUUUCUCCUAUUUAAAUUUUGUGACCUGAAUUCUCUCUAGGCCUAGCUAUUUUUUUUUUAAUAUCCCAAAGCAUAAGCUUCAGAAAUUUUAAAAGCUCUUUCUUUGGUUUUCUGCUGUAAUGGUCUUUCCCUAAGGCAAUGAGUGCAUUGGCUAAAUGAAUAAAAGACAAAUGGUAAAAAAUUUAGAGAAGGAUUUUUCAGGUAAUAUCUCAAAAUAUUAUCACCACAAUUACACCCAAGGAUACUGCCCAGAUCUGUAAUGAGAUCCAUGAAAGCUUGUAAUAACCUUUGAUGGCUCAUGAAAAAGGGAAAAGGAUCAGAUGAUUAAAGUCAGGGAAAAGUGUCAAUUUCAUUUAAAGAAGGAAAAAAGAGGAUGCUGCAAAUUAUAGAUUGGCAGCCUUAAUGUUCUACAUGGGGAACAUUUCAGACAAAACGUAUCUCAGGCUGAGCACGGUGGCUCAUGCCUGUAAUCCCAGCACUUUGGGAGGCCAAGGUGGGUGGAUCAUUUGAGGUCAGAAGUUUGAGACCAACCUAGCCAACAUGGUGAAAUCUUGUCUGUACUAAAACUACAAAACUUAGCCAGGUGGUAGUGGCAUGUGCCUGUAAUCCUAGCUACUCAGGAGACUGAGGCAGGAGAAGUGCUUGAGCCUGGUAGACAGAGGUUGCAGUGAGCUGAGAUCACACCACUGCACUCUAGUCUGGAUGACAGAGUGAGACCCUGUCUCAAACAAAACUCAUUUCUUUUUUUGAUAGUUUGUCUUGGUCAAAGGCUGUUGAAAUAGGUAUCUGGACUUCAGCAAAUAAUUGGACAGUCUCCUGAAAUGUCAUUAUGAAUAAGAUGUAAGAAUGGGAACCAGAAGACAGAAGGGCAGGUAGAUUUAUAAUACAGUGAACAGCCGUGCCCAAAGAGGACUGGAACAUAGCUACAGUAAAGUGUUCAAGAUAGAGGGUGACUGUAGCAACUAUGGCAUGUUGGGGAAGUUGGACAGAACUGAGGGUAUGAAGCCUGGAGAAGAAAAGCCUCAGGGAACCUAGGGUAAAAUGAAAAUGAGACCUGUCAUCCUAUGCAGGCUCCUUCUGUGGUGCUCUGAUAAGGUUUGGAUCUGUUUCCCCACUAAAAUCUCAUGUUGAAUUACAAUCCCCAAUACUGGAAGUAGGGCCUGGUGGGAGGUGACUGGAUCAUGGGGCUGGAUUUCUUAUGAAUAGUGUGACACCAUCCCAUUGGUACUGUCUUCACGAUAGAGAGUGAGCGAGUUCUCACAAGAUCUGGUCAUUUAAAAGUGUGUGGCACUCCCCACCUCACACUCUUGUUCUUGCUUUCACCAUGUGAAGUACCUGCUCCCCUUCAUACCAUGAGUAUAAGCUUCUUGAGGCCUCUGCAGAAGCAGAUACUGCAGUGCUUCCUAUACAGCCUGCAGAACUGUGAGCCAAUUAAAUCUCUUUUAUUUAUAAACUACCCAGUCUAGGUAUUUCUUUAUAGUAAUGCAAGAAUGGCCUAAUACAGGCUCAAAGGAAAAAAAUUGAUCAAAUUUCUGAUCAUUAGAACUUGUCAGCUGGGCACAGUGGCUCAUGCCUGUAAUCCCCACACUUUGGGAAGCCAAGGCAGGCAGAUCACUUGAAGCCAGGAGUUCAAGACCAGCCUGGCCAACAUGGCAAAACCCCAGCUCUACUAAAAUUACAGAAAUUAACUGGGCAUGUGUUAUGGUUAAUACUGAGUGUCAACUUGAUUGGGUUGAAGGAUGCAAAGUAUUGGUCCAUGGUGUCUGUGCUGGUGUUGCCAAAGAUUAACAUUUGAGUCAGUGGGCUGGGAAAGGCAGACCCAUACUUAUUCUGGGUGGGCACCAUCUAAUCAGCUGCCAGCAUGGCUAGUAUAUAAAGCAGGCAGAAAAGUGUGAAAAAACUCGACUGGUCUAGCCUCCCAGCCUAUAUCUUUCUCCCAUGCUGGAUGCUGCCUGCCCUUGCACAUUGGACUCCAGGUUCUUAAGUUUUGGUACUUGGACUGGCUCUCCUUGCUCCUCAGCCUAUUGUGGGACCUUGUAAUCAUGUGAGUUAAUACUUAAUAAACUCCCCUUUAUAUGUAUAUCUAUCUAGCCUAUUAGUUCUGUCCCUCUAGAGAACCCUGUCUAAUAUAGCAUAAUGGUGCAUGCCUGUAAUCCCAGCUACUUGGGAGGGAGGCUGAGGCAGGAGAAUUGCUUGAACCCAGGAGGUGAAGGUUGCAGUGAGCUCCAGUCACGCCACUGCACUCUAGCCUGAGCAACAGAGUAUGACUCUGUUUCAAAAAAAAAAAAAAGAAUUUGUGUCAAAAACAAAAUAAAACAAUCACAUGAAAACCUGGGCUGUUGUGAGGUAAUAAGCUUAACAACAGUGUGAUGCCACAGCAAAGAUUCAUUCAUUCUGCUAAGUGUAUCAAGUGCCUACCCUCUAUAAACAGAGAAAUAGGGAAUAAGGUGAGAUGACUUCUGAGAGCUCCCACAGUUCUGAGCUAAGAUUCCACUUCUAGAAACUGCAAGUGCUAAGCCAAAACCAAGUGAAUUGCCACUUUUUGUUUUUUACCAAAAUGUUUUAUAGAAAAAACAGUGAUUCAGAAAGAAAAGCCUGUGGAUGCACUCAGAGUCAAUUUUAUGGCUCAUGACUGGCAAUAUUAAUAGAAGCACUAAUAAAAGUUAUGUAGUAAUGAAACACCUAAGCAUACACUCAUAAAUCAUAUUCCUACAGGAUUUGCUAGGGCAGAUUGUUUUUCCCUUGCAAUGGAAGACAACAAAUUUUACACUAAACUUAGGUUUUCCCCAGGAGACCCAUAAACCUCAGUACAGGCUAAAGACUGGGGUAAAUCCAUGUAGUUUCAAAACUAAAACACCAGUGAACAUAUAGAUAUGAAAAAAAUGUGACAUUUUAGAUUUACACAAUGGAAAUAUUUAGUCAUCAUACUUCACAGCAUAAGAGCACAGCAGGUUGCUCAUUGGGCACUCCUAACUUAAAAUUUCAUAGGUUGAUUUUCUACCCUUCAGUUUUGCUAAGAUCUUAAACCAGAGUUUGAUGGGAAAUUAAAACUUAUAUAGCUUUGGUGAUGGCUGUUGUUUUUGCAGCUACUUAUCCCUGUUUUCUGAUAUGAGAGCCUUUGUCUGUUCCUCUUAGGAGCUCCUUCUCCCACAUCUGAUGGGAUACCAGUCAUCAGAUCUCCCCUGCCUCUGGGGUGUGACUCAGGCUGUUCUUCAUCCACUUGGACAGUGACUGCCUCUGGGUGGUUAUCUGAGCCAAGGAAGUCCAGAAUCUUUUUGCAGAGAUUAUUAGAGAUGCUAAGAGAAGGGUUGGGGAAAGCUUAUCUCCUGAGAUGAUACACUAGAGCAGGAGUUCCCCAACCCCCAGGGCCACAGAUCAGUACCAGUCUGUGGCCUGUAAGGAACCCAGCUGCACAGCAGGAGGUGAGCAGCAGGCAAGCGAGCAUUACUGCCUAAGCUCUGCCUCCUGUCAGUUCAGUGGGAGCAUUAGAUUCUCACAGGAGGGUGAACCCUAUUGUGAACUGCGCAUGCAAGUGAUGUAGGUUGCGUGUUCCUUAUGAAAAUCUAAUGCCUGAUGAUCUGAAGUGGAACAGUUUCAUCCCAAAACCAUCCCUCCACUACCAUCCAUGGAAAAACUGUCUUGCAUGAAACCAGUCCCUGGUGCCAAAAAGGUUGGGGCCUGCUGCAAUAGAGAUCAUUUGAGUGGAGAUGCUGGGGUCCCAUCCUUGCCACCAUAAAGAGAGAGCUUCUCUAGGGGUAAACCAGUGGAGAGGAAGGAAGAGCUGAGAAAUAAAAAGGGAGGGACAGGGCUGGGCAUGGUGGCUCAUGCCCAUAAUCCAGGCACUUUGGGAAGCUGAGGCAGGCAGGUCACCUAAGGUCAGGAGUUUGAGACCAGCCUGACCAACAUGGAGAAACCCCGUCUCUACUGAAAAUACAAAAUUAGCUGGGCAUGGUAAUUCUAGUUACUUGGGAGGCUGAGGCAGGAGAAUCACUUGAAUCCAGGAGGUGGAGGUUGCAGUGAGCCGAGAUUGCAGCCUGGGCGACAAGUGUGAAAUUCCAUCUCAACAACAACAACAAAAAAGGGAGGGACAGAAGCCUGAUAAUGUCUUUUGAAUACCUGAAUCCAGGGAGAAAAUGUGGAGAUACAAAUGACUGGAUGAAACAGAACCCACUUUCUCUCAGCUCAGCUUCGGACUGUGAGGUGACAGAGAAAUAAAAAUAAACAUUUAUUGUGCUAAACCACUGAGAUUUUGGGUGGUUAGCUGUUAGCAUCAACAAUUCUGACUAAUACAGUAGCCUACCAUAUAACUGUUCACUACUAUGUUUAAAAUUCAAGGGCUGUGAUCAACCGACCCCAUUCUGACAGUUAAUUGACCUGUGAAUUUACCUUUUCUGUAAAUCUCCUCUUUCUAUCCUUACUGUAUUAUUUUAGUUCAACCUUUGUAUGGAUUCCUGACAGAUGUAAUUGUCUUCUGUGUCCUUUCUGCAGGUGGAGUGAUGUUUCUGGAAUGUUCCUCUAAUCAUAUGCUUCUGUUUGUAACUUUCUCCCUUCAACCUCCCUGCUGUAUCCCUCUAUGCUUGGAACAUAUUUUCUUAUGCUCUUGUUUUCCAAGAACUGAAUCUGACUCAUCUUUUGGGACUCUGUGUAAAUAUCCCUUUAUCCAUUACGCCUGCCUUGAACAUUUAGUCUGGUCUCAUCCUAAGUGGGUGCCUCUGCUAUGAGCUCCCAUUGUACGUUUUAUUUGUCUUAGUGGAGCACUUAUGACACCUUAUUUACAUUGCUUAAUUGUCUGUUUCCCCUUUCUGGAUUUGAGGUAUAAAGGCUCUUGGGCGUUGCAUUUCCAGGGCUUUGAACAAUGCCUGGCACAUAGCAAAAUAUACAUAGAUAUAUGUUAUAUGUAUGUAUUUAUAUAUGUCAUAUACAUCAUGUGUACAUAUUUGUGCUUAAUGACAUGAAUGAAUCAAUGACAAAAUAGAGAAAAUAAAUAUAAACACCCCAAAGAUCCUCCUCCCAUGCAAGUGUAGUAACUGAUGUCUAAAGGUAGUGGGUGUGCAGCAGGUAAAAACAUUUCCUAGAAAUCUUUCAAAAUCCUUCAAAGCUCAUUCAUGUAUUGGAUUCUUUCUAACAUUUUUUUCUUUCCUUGGCUUGGGAGAUUAUAUCAUCUCUGGAAGAUAUAAAUAUCUUUGGCGGGGGGAGGACUCAAGAUGGCGCUGUGAGAACAACCCAGGAUUGGAGCUCUCCUUGAAUCCACGGAGAGCUCUGGACACUUACGAAAGAUAUACAACAUCAAGUUCUACAGAAAAGAAAACCCCACACAAAUCCAUUCCUGCAGAAUUCUAAAAGAGAAAGAAAAAACGAGGGGAAAGAAUGAGAAUCUGAAAAAGUUUCAACGCUGCCAUAGGAAUUUCAUCACAGGCCCAGCAGCAUGAUUAUGCAAAUCAUUUCAGAAGUAGAGGAUUGAAUGAUGCACAUGGCUGAGAAUGUUGUCUGAAAUAAUAGUGUCUAAACCUGCAUCCAGGGCCACCUGUGGAUUGUCAUAAGCUCUGAUCUUCUUGGCCCAUUCGCUCUUCAGUUCCAUGGUCUCAAUUCAACAUUCAGACAUUUUCUGCCAUACAGGUUUCACAAAGCAUUAUGUUUGUCAGGGAAAUACUUCAGUGGAACAUAAAAUACUCAGUUGUGCCAAAGCAACAGCAGCUGGUGGAGUUUAUAGAAAUGAGCAGAGCCCAAUAUGAUGAAUUAUAAACAUGCUUAUGUUUAAAGCAAGUGCUGACAUAAAAGAGGCAACAGAGCACAGAACAUGCUUCUAUUUAGCUCAAAGAAUAUGCACAGUAUCAAGAAAGCCAUGCAUAGUCAUUUUAAGAUCCAGGAAAUUCACAUACUAGACUAUAUUUUGUUCUGUCUUUCCUUGGACAUCAGAUGUGAGAUGGAGUAAGGACCUCCUUAGAGGCCUGUGGGUACCCCCAAGCUUGGAAAUUAAGGAAAAUCUUGAGUUCCUUCAAGUUCCAGGCACCUAGUUAGCCCUGAGAGGUAAAUAAGCAAUUUGAUGAGCAAGACAGUAAUAGUAGCCUAAAACAAGAGCCAAGGAAGCUAGAAUCAAGUGAUAUUUGGUUCCCCUAUACAAACUAAAGAUGACAUUGUAACAUAUGUUUCUGAGUUGUUUUUUGGCUCACCAGUGGUUCACCAAACAGGUCUGCCUCUGCACAUCUACCUGCACGCAGACCUCAGGUAAGGGAGAUCUGGGGACUGAACUCUGAUAACCGUCUUUUGGUCUAAAUUUCUUCCUGCAGGGCAUGGAGAAAGUCACACCUGUGAGCUGCACCUAACAUUCUUUUCUGCUGACCCCAAAUUCUUAAACAAAGCUUGUCAAACCAGUUGCAAAUCAGAAAGUCUUUGAAUCUAUCUGUGACCUAUAAGCCCCUGCUUCAAGAUAGCCUGCACUUAAGGGCUAAAACCAAUGUGUAACCUUGAUUUAUGGUUUUGAUUUAUGGUUUGGGCCCUAAACCAUUGAUUUAUGAUUUUGCCUAUAGCUUCUGCUUUCCUUAAAUUUACCCCUGCUUUAUAAACCCUUACCUGCUAGUCAUAGGGAAGGUCAGAGUUUAAAGUGUUAGCUGCCUGAGCCUCCUUGCUUGGCACCCUGUCAAUAAACCCUUCCUUUCACCUGCUGCAAACCUCCUUGUGGAUAUCUGGUCUCACUGUGCCGGGCUAGCAGAACCCAUUUCAGUUCUACAACAGGUUUGAGGGUUAAGUUAAUUCUCUCUUUUCAUUUAUGGCAUAUUAUCAUCACACCUGUUUAUAGUAGCCUUUUCUCUUUUUCCCCCUGUUCCCUGCCCCUCAUUUCCUUUUCACCUCUACUUCAUAGUAUAAAAUUGUCAGUAGGUACCAAGCAAGAGUAAUGUGUUUGAUAUAUGGCCGUGGUUAUAUAAACAUCUCGGAAGAAUAUAUUAUGUUUUUGGGUGAGUCGAUGUUGAAAACCUGUGUUUAUAGGAUCAUACCAUCACAUCUCACUCUGUUUCUUACCUUUCUCACCUAACGCUAGAUUUCUCAGCUCUCUUCUUAUUAUUGUAUGUAGCUCUGGUUCAUUAUUUGUGGCUCUAACAGGGUAUUCCAUAGUAUACCUCCAUCAGAUUUAACAUCUCCAUUACCACCCAUGAUAAACUUACAUUGCCUCUAAAUCUCUACUGUCAUAAACAGUGUCGUCAGCCGCGGUGGCUCAUGCCUAUAAUCCCAGCACUUUGGAAGGCUGAGGUGGGAGGACUUCCUGAGCCCAGGAGUUCAAGACCAUCCUGGGCAACAUAGGGAGACCCAAUCACUACAAAAAAUAAAAACAAAUAAAUUAACUACGUGUGGUGGUGCAUUUCUGUGGUCCCAGCUACUCAGGAGUCUAAGAUAGAAAGACUGCUGGAGCCUUGAGGAGACUGAGGCUGCAGUGAGCCUUCAUCUUCCACUGCACUCUAGCCUGGGCAACAGAGCAAGACCCUGAUACACAAAAAAAUAUGAUGAGCACCUUCCACCUUUGUAUAUGUGAUAUAGACAGGAGGCAGGGGAAAUACUGGAUAGAAAAGGGCAGUCCCCAGCAAGGGCCUCACCCUCAAGCCUGGACCCAUGGCCCAAAGUGAGAACAUGCAUUCUGUGCCCAUAAAAACUCCACAGGCCCCACUGUUGGAGUGGCAGAGUGGCAAAAAGGAAGAGAAGAAGCAGUUGGACAUCGGAGAGAAGCAGCUUGACUGCAGAGGGAUGGCUUGACAGUGAGAUCUCAGAGAGGAGUUCAGACAGGGAUGGCCGAAUUCCAGGGGAAGCCAUCUUCCCACUUCAUCCCAUUUCCAGCUCCCUAUCCUGCUGAGAGCCACUGCCACCACUCAAUAAAAUCCACCACAUUCACUACCCUUCAAUUUGUUUGUGUGAUGUGAUUCUUCCUGGAUGCCAAACAAGAGCUUGUUAUACAGAGGGCUGUCACAAUGAGCUAUGAAACACUUAGCCAUCUGCAGAUGGCCAAGCUAAGAGAGCACACUGUAACACUCCCUAUCGGGUGUCAGGGGUCACAGGCAACCCCUAGAUGCUGCUGCAGGCCUGCACAGAGUUCUGCUCCUGCCAGUUGGCCAGAAGCGCUUGUCCUGGCCUCUGCACCCUUUCACCUGCGUGCUCCCCCUCCCAUGAAAGUUUGAAAGCUGUGGGCUGAGUAAAGGAGCCAUAAUCCUGUGAUGGGGUCAAGGUAUUCUCCAAGGGAAUCCUCAACUUGGAUUGUUGAGGAGUUUCACAUGGACCUCCUCAACAAUCUCUGUGGGAGUUGUUCUAGGGAAGGUGAGAAGGAUUGAUUGGUUAUUUGAUAUAUACAUACUUAAUUACAAAAUGGCUGCAGAAGUCUACUCCCCAACCUUCAGUAGUAAAUGAGCGUUGCUCUUACAUCUUCACUAACACUUGGGAUCAUGACUUUCCAAUUUUAGCAGUACUGUCUUAUGGUUUUAAUUUAUAUUUUGCUAUUUACUUGUGAUUUUGGAUCUUUUCCUAAAAGCUAGGUACUUGGGCUUCCCCUCUGUCAACCUAUUUAUAUUCUUAACCUAUUUUUAUAUUGGACAAUCUUGUAUUUUUUCUUACUGAUCUGCUAGAGUGCUUCAGAUACCCUAGUUCUAUAUUGCUCCAUAUGGUAACCACUAGCCACAGAUGGCUAUUUAAAUUUAAAUGAAUUAAAACUAAAAAUUCAGUUGUUCAGUUGCACUAUCCCCAUUUCAAGUGCUCAGUAGCCCUGUGUGGAUAGUGACUAUCAUAUUGGAGAGUACAGAUGGAAAACAUUUCAUCGUCACAGAAAGCUCUAUCUUCUCCCAAAUGAUCUUCCAACUGUAAGUCUUAUCUCCCAUGUUCUUCAUUGAAUAAUGAUCCUUAAUAUUCAUAUGGUCAUAUCCACCUAUUUUUUUACCCUCUCACGGUAUCUUUUUUCUUUUUUUGACGGAGUCUUAUUCUGUCUUUUAGACUGGAGUGCAGUGGCACGAUCUUGGCUCACAGCAACCUCCACCUCUGAGGUUCAAGUAAUUCUCAUGCCUCAGCCUCCUAAGUGGCUGGGACUACAGAUUCAUGCCACCACACCUGGCUAAUUUUUGUAUUUUUUGGUAGAGAUGCGUUUUGUCAUAUUGGCCAGGCUGGUCUCGAACUCCUGACCUCAAGUGAUCCUCCCACCUUGGCUUCCCAAAGUGCUGGAAUUAUAGCCGUGAGCCACUGAGCCAUAAGCUCGGCCACCCUCUCGUGAAAUCUUAAGAAGUCCUUCUCCAUGCCCAAGUACUCAAAAAAUAUUCUUCUACAUAUUCUAUGUUCACUUCAUAGCUUUACCUUUUACAUUUAGGUCGUUGAUCCGUUUGGAAGUCAUCUUUAUGUAUAGGGCAACAAAGUUUCAGCUUUAUUUUUCUAUAUAAAAUGGGCCAAUUUUCCAAAUGCCAUCUAUUCAACAAUGCAUCCCUUUCUUGCUGUUUUGUGGGACCACCUCUAUCAAAUAACAGAUUCCCAUAUAAACAUGUGUGUAUUUUGAGCUUUCUAUUCUUUUCUAUUUAAUUCCAUCCCAUCCAUCCUAUGUCAUUCUAGUCCACAGUUAGUUUGUUUGGCUUGUGCCAGAUGUGUACUGAUUGUUUUGUUGUUUGCUAGAAGACACAGUCCUCUCUUAAAGCAGACUCUCCUAAUUAUGAUUCAGUAUUCAUUCCCUUUCCUUUUCACUAACAGAACUUUCCUUCUCCGCUGUGCAUGUGCACUUAACCUCCACCAUUGUGGACUGGCCUCCCAAUUUUGUUUGGGACAGCAAUACACUCAGCCAAAAUAAUCAUUUUCCCAGACUCUUGCAGCAGGGGUUAGCCAUGUGGUAAGGUUAUAAAUAGUGAGAUGGAGACAUAAUUCCCGAUGGGUGAUUUUUGUUUCCUGAGUAAAAAGGUCCCAUAGAAAGUUAUUCAUCUCUUCUCCCUUUCCUUCUUUUCUUGCCUAGAAUGUAGACAAUAUUCUGAGGUAACACACAUGGGGACAAAGGUGUACAUCUAAGGAUGUAAGAACAGGAAAAUGCGAAGAACCUCUAUGACUGGUAGCAUUGUUCAGCUGUCAGUAUGAACCCAACUCUCGCUUGGCUUGUAGCGUGAGUUAAAUUAUCCUUUGUCUAUGCAACUUCUAUGGUAGGGUUUUCUGAUAUUUGUAUACGAAUACACUUCUGACACAGCUUACCUUUCCCAUUCUUUUCUGAAAUUGCUUUACUUAGACUUUAAUUUUAGAAUAAACUUUAGAAUAAAGUGUUCAAGUCUCUUAAAAACCUUCCCUUGGGGCUGGGCGUGGUGACUCACACCUGUAAUCCCAGCACUUUGGGAGGCUGAGGCAGGUAUAUUGCCUGUAAUCAGGAGUUUGAGACCAGCCUGGCCAACACGGUGAAACCCCAUCUAUACUAAAAAUACAAAAAUUAGCUGGGCAUGGUGGCAAGCACCUGUAAUUCCCAGCUACUAUGGAGGCUGAGACGGGAGAAUUGCUUGAACCCGAGAGGCCUAGGUUGCAGAGAGCCAAGAUUGCCUCACUGCACUCCAGCCUGGGUGAUAGAGCAAGACUCUGAAUAAAUUAAAAAAAAAUUGGAAUUUUGAUUGGAAUUGCAUUAACUUAUAGAUUAAUAUAGGCAAAGGGGACUCUUUAUAAUAAUAAGUCAUCCCAACUUCAAAUAUGGUAUAUUGCUUCAUUUAUUUAGAUCUUCCUUCAUGAAAGAAUUUUAGUAAGCUUUUUUGGUGGAGAUACAGUGCAUGCUUUGAUGGAAGAUCCAGUACAAAAUGCUUAUUGCGUUUUGCCAGUUCUAAUAUGUACUUUGUUUUGUUUUGCUUUUCUUUUGAACAUGUCUGCAAUGUGGAUUCAUCUUUAGAUUAGUGACAUCUAAUAGUCACAGUUGGCAGUUGGUACUGUUCUCUCUACCUAUCUCCUUUGUGGUACACAAAAUAACGAUACAUUGAGACAUAGAUGGUUUUGAUUCAAAAAAAUAUAGUAUGUAAUUUAUUUAAUAUUUUUUCUUUCUUCUUUCUUUCUUUUUAUUAGAGACAAACUCACUCUGUUGCCCAGGUUGGAGGGCAGUGGAGCAAUCAUAGCUCACAUCAGCCUCACAUGCCUGGGCUCAAGUGAUCCUCCCGCCUUAGCCUCCUAAGUGGCUGGGACUAUAGGCGUGUACCACUAUGCUUGGCUAAUUCAAAAUUUUUUUUGUAGAGAUAGGGUCUCACUGUGUUGCCCAGGCAGGUCUUAAAAUCCUGGUCUCAAAAUCCUGCUCUCAAGUGAUCCUCCCACGUUGGCCUUCCAAAGCACUGGGAUUACAAGUGUGAACCAAUGUGCCUGGCCCUAUUUAAUAUUUUGUAUUUGUUGAUUUUCUUUCUUUCUUUUCUUUUUUUUUUUUUUGGUCCAUUUUCUUAACACUUCCAAUUGAUCAAAAUCAAAACUGAUAAUUUUCUAGAAAUGCUCAUUAACUUUCCAAAUUACUGUAUGCACUACUUAUUCUGAUAAUUUAUAAUACUGAGGGUAUUUCUACAUUUUUUGUAGAUAAGGCCAAUCCAUUUUUUUGUUUUGCUUGUACUUUUUUUAAUUAAAAUUUUUUGAAAAGUAUUAUAUACAACAAACUCCCAUAAGCUAGCCUCACAGAUGAACAAAUAUCAACAUUUUAUAUUUGCUUCAAUUCAAUUUUCUUCUCUUCUUUUUAAUGAUAAAAAUGUAAUAAAGUUUUCACUUUAUGCAUUAGCUUAAUUCAUUUUAUUUAAUAAUAAAAUUAUGAUAAAUGAAAUUCCCCUGCUUUUCUUUUUCCUUUCUCAUAUUGGGAACUGUUUUAUGGAUUUAAAAAUUUUAUCUGUAUGACAUCUUUAGUCUGUGAUAUUUCUUCCUUUUUUUUUUUUUUUUUUUUUUGAGACAGAGCUUUGCUCUAUUGCCCAGCUUGGAGUGCUGAGGCACAAUCUCAGCUCACUGCAACCUCUGCCUCCCGGGUUCAAGCAAUUCUCCUGCCUGUCUCCCAGAUAGCUGGGUUUACAGGCACACUCCAACAUGCCUUGCUGAUUUUUGUGUUUUUAGUAGAGAUGGGGUUUCACUAUGUUGGCCAGGCUGGUCUUGAACUCCUGACCUCAGAUGAUCUGCCUGCCAUGGCCUCCCAAAAUGCUAGGUUUACAGGCAUGAGCCAAUGUGCCUGGCCAAGUCUAUAAUAUUUCUGCAAUUUUUAUUCAACAUUAUGUUUUUUAGUUCUUGCUGUGUUAGAAGACAUAGCUGUAAUCUAUUUAUUUUAUUAUUGUUAUUAUUUUGGAGAUUGAGUCUAACUCUGUCUCCCAGGCUGGAGUGCAACGGUGCAACCUUGGCUUACUGCAAACUCUACUUCCCAGGUUCAGGGGAUUCUCCUGCCUCAGCCUCCUGAGCAGCUGGGAUUACAGGCAUGUGCUAUAAUGCCUAACUAAUUUUUGUAUUUUUAGUAGACAAAGUUUUACCAUGUUGACCAGGCUGGUCUCAAACUCCUGAUCUCAAGUGAUCUGCCUGCCUUGGCUUCCCAAAGUGCUAGGAUUUCAGGUGUGUAUCGCCAUGCCCAGCCAUAAUCUAUUUAUUUUAAUGUCUGAAUGGUAUUUUAUAAAUUCCUUUACUGAGGGACUUUUGGAUUGUUUCCAGUCAUUUGUUAUUGCAAACACUGCUGCAAUGAACUUUGAACAUGUCCUUCUUCAUGUUCAGGUACAAAUAAUUCCUAAGUCCUACCAUCUAGUUUCUUGAUAACGGCAAUCUAUUCUUAAAAUGAAAAAAAUAUAUAAGUUCUUUGAUUCUUUUCAAAAAGAAAAUACAUAAUUUAUAAAAGCUCAAAGGAAACUUUACCCCCUUUGUAUGAAGUAACUGCAGUGUAUUGGUGCAUUAUAAUGAACAGUCAUUGUAAUUACAUUUCAUGAAGGAGUUCUUAUCAGAAUGUCAAUAUUCUUUUUUAUUCCAUUGGAAUAAAAUUUCCAUUGAAACUAAUUUUUAAAAAUGCUCCUGCUUUUUCUCCCCCAAUUCAAGCACAACUUAAAAUGUAAUAGUGAAAUCUCACUAUAUGUGUUUAAGUCUACAAUAUCACUGCAUUGUUCGAUAUGUAAAUCUAGUAUUUAUCUGAACACUUACACAAUGCCCUAUAAAUGUUUCUGUAUACUAUGGAAAAACAGGAUUUACACAACUGCAUAUUUAUGUGACAGGAAAAUUUAAUUACAUAAAAAUGUAUUUCAUUUCUAUGAUCAUAUUCUUACCAUACUUUCUUAGAUUCUGUAUUUGUCUAUUUGGCAUCUGUUUAUCACAGGGCCAAUUGUAUUAACUUUUUUUGGGCAGGGGGGUUAGACAGAGUCUUGCUCUGUUGCCUAGGCUAGAGCACAAUGACACAAUCUUGGCUCAGUGCCACCUCCGCCUCCCGGGUUCAAGUGAUUCUCCUGCCUCAGCCUUUGAGUAGCUGGGAUUACAGGCGCACGCCACCCUACCUGGCUAAUUUUUGUAUUUUUAGUAGAGUUGGGGUUUCACCAUGUUAGCCAGGCUGAUCUUGAACUCCUGGCCUCAAGUGAUUCACCUGCCUUGGCCUCCCAAAGUGCUGGAAUUACAGGCAUAAGCCACUGCACCUGGCCGGUAUUAACUAUUUUUCUGUAUUUUGUAUUCUUGAUGCUCUGGCAUUUGAGGGCCUUACAGACCCAGGGAGAGACUGCCCUUCCCAGGGCCAAUUCCUAAACGUAGUGAACAAAUGACUUGGGAGCAUGCCUUUCCCGUGCAAGCCAACCACUCUCUUUAGCCUCACACACCAACCCAGUAUUUCCUCUCCCUGCAUCAUUCCAGGGACAGUCACUAGUCAACCAAGGACCACUCCAAUAGCUCAAGGCCCACCAGAAUUAUUCACAUUAGCCAAUCCUAAACUAUUUCCCCUGCCUUGCCUUUACUGGCUUUCCUGUGGAAACCCAGUAAAAGAAGUGGCCUAGGCUCUCCCCUGGCUCCUUUCUGCCUCCUGACCAAAAUUGGUGUUUCCCUUGUGGCCCUGCAUGGCGUGGUGUGGCCUCUUCUCUUGGGAAAUGUAAGUAAUAAAUUCUUCUUUCAGUGGCAUUGGCCUCUCCAUGUUAGCACACAGUCACUUCCACAAAUUAGAAUCCUUUGAACACAAAUGAGACAUAUUUAUAGAAGGUCUAUGUCUUCAUCUGUUUUGUCUUGCUAUAAAGGAAUGCCACAGGCUGGGAAAUUUAUUUUAAAAAAUUGUGGAGGGGGUUGUUUGGCUCAUGGUUCUGCAGGCUAUACAGGAAGCAUGGUACUAGCAUCUGCUUCUGGUGAGGGCAUCAGCCGGCUUUCACUCUCGGAGGAAGGCAAAGGAGGCCUACAUUACAUGGCGCAAGAGGACAGCAGAGAGUUGGAAGAAGGUGCCAGGCUCUUUUAAACCAUCAGUUCUCGAGGUAACUUAAAGAGCAAGAAGUCAGACAGGCACGGUGGCUCAUGCCUGUAACCCUAGCACUUUGGGAUGCUGAGGCAGGCAGAUCAUUUGAGGUCAGGAGUUCAAGACCAGCCCGGCCAACAUGGCUAAACGCUGUCUCUACUGAAAAAAAAAAAAAAAAUAGCCAGGCGUGGUGGCAGGCGCCUGCGAUCCCAGCUACUUGGGAGGCUGAGACAGAAGAAUCACUUGAACCUGGGAGGUGGAGGUUGCAGUAAGCCAAGAUCGCAGAGCAACACUCUGUCUCAAAAAAAAAGAAAAGAAAAGAAAAGCAAGAACUCAUGCAUUACCACAAGGACGGCACCAAGACGUUCAUGAGGUAUCUGCCCCCAUCUCCCACACAUCUUCCACCAGGCCCCACCUCCAUCACUGGGGAUCAAUUUCUUUUUUUUUUUUUUCUUUUUUUUUAGGACUCAGCCUUUCUCUUGUCUGCCAGGCUGAAGUGCAAUGGCAUGAUCUUAGCUGACUGCAACCUCUGCCUCCCAGGUUCAAACGAUUCUCCUGUCUCAGCCUUCUGAGUAGCUGGGAUUACAGGCAAGUGCCACCACGCCUGGUUAAUUUUUGUAUUUUUAGUGAAGACAGGGUUUUACCAUGUUGGCCGGCUGGUCUUGAAUUCCUGACCUCAGAUGAUCCGCCUGCCUCAGCCUCCCAAAGUGCUGGGAUUACAGGUGUGAGCCAUGGCGCCUGGCCUGCAUAUAUGUAUUUCUAAAUAGAGUAGGGAGAAAGCUGACAAAAUCAGUAUUAACUUGAAGAAAUAAAUUCCUUUUGUUUGGUUGAUUUUCAUAAUUGCUAAUUGGAUAGAAACAGUCAUGCAGGCUGGGCGAGACUCCAUCUCAAAAAAAAAGAAAGAAACAGUCAUGCAAGCAGCUGGUUGUCAACCAGCCUUCCCAAGCGUGGUCCCAAGAAAGAAACGCUGUGGACUGCUGCCACGGUCGGAGAUGGCACUUUUAUUAAAAAAAUUCACUCAUGAAGAAAUGGCAUUUUGUCAUCAUGAAUGAAAGGUCUUAGGCGAUGCCACUCAUUACUACGAAGCCAAAAGUAAAAUAAACAAGUGAAGAAAACAAAUAAAAUGAACCCUUAACUGCCAUUUUGUCCUCUUGCUGACAUACGUUUCCAAGACACAAAAUUCUCCUUCCUAUGAAGUCAGUGCGAGGAAAAUACUGUUUCUGAAAAUUAUUAACUGAAUCUCAGCUGAAAUAUUAACAUGUGGAAAACAGUAUUUCUUUGGUGGAAUUAAUCAUAUAGGUAAAAUCUAUAUAAUGGUCUUUAUCUAUAAGAGAGCUCAUAUUCAGUAUAAUGUGUAGCAUAAAACUAGGAAAUAUCUAUACUUAAAUCUUAUUAAUAGAACUUGUUUAUCUGUAAUGCACCAAAAAACUGUAUUUUUAUUAUCAUUGACGUUCUUAGUUAUUUUCUACAGUCAUUCUUUUGUAAAUUAAAAAGCCAUUGUUUAAGAAAGGAUUAAAUAAUUUCAGCUUCCUGAA